UCGGUCUCUCUCUUCCCUCUCGCUCCUCUCUCCCACUCCGUCUCUUCCGUCUCUUCCGUCUCUGCCCUCUCUCUCACUCCGUCUCGCUCUUCUCUCCCACUCCUGUGCACACCCGCCAAACCGCUGCCCCUCGUUUCUCUUCCCUGGAAGAUCGUGUUGCUUCCUUGAGGCCAUCAUCGCCUCUUUACCUUCACUCGAGGCCUUCAACGACUCUCUUACAAAAUUAGGGUUUUAUUUGGUGCUAGGUUCAUUCUUCUAGAAAAACAGGUUAGGAAUUUGUUGUUAAUUUAAGUGUAAUUUAAGUUUCUGUGAAAAUAUUAGUUCUAAAAUUAGGGUUUUAUUUGGUCCAGAUUUCAAUUUUAGUUUGUGUAUCAGAUUUCAAUUUCAAUUAGCGGUUCUUUGAACUGUUUCGCAUCUAGGGACCAAAAUCCGCAGGGUGAUGGGAUAUAUGAUAUAUUGGAGGAAUUGACUGUGAAGAUGAAACAUUAUCGUUUGUGAUUGUCGAUCCAACUUUAAUCGUCUAUGAUAUACAUUUUCUCAAGAUUCCUAAAAAUACAUAGUUAAGGACUGGAUUAAAAGGGUGAAUUUUCCUAAAACUAGACUGGCUGGUUUCUGGCAAGUCAGUGGGCAUGUUUUUUUAUUGAGUUUAGCUUCAUCUUAGGUUUAUGUGAUGUAUCGUGAUGUUUGUAUCUGCACCUGGAAUCUACUUUCGUGCUAAUUUAGAUUUUGGUGCAGGUCAGCAGUUGUCUAAGUUAUAUUCUUUUGGUUGAUCUACUUAGAACUCUUGAUAAUCUUAAUGUUUUGUGCUGUAUCUCCCCGUGAAGGCUAUUAUAACUGCCUAAGUUAUGAGACCCAUGUUGGCAAUAUUUAUGUGGCUUUGCUGACAAAUUGGCUAUGGUUGAAAUUUUGUUACUUAGCUUUGCUGACAAAGUGGCCAUGCUGGGUUUGAGAAUGAUUAAUCCACUUUCUGAAUUUAAUUACUUUGAACUUUGUCUAGUGUCCUUCCAAAGCAUUUCAUAUGGGGAAUGCUGACUUGGAAGCCCGGUGCUUUUACUUUGUCUAGUGUCCUUCCAGUUUUUGCAGAAUAUGUAGAUGUUAUCAAGGGAAAGGAGAUUCAUGGGUAUGCUAUAAGACGUGGGCUUGAUGCAGAUGUAUUCAUUGGGAGUAGCUUAAUUGACAUGUAUGCCAAUUGUACUUGAGUGCAAGAUUCCCUGCGGGUGUUCAACCUGCUACCUAAUCGUGAUGCCAUUUCAUGGAACUCGAUCAUUGCAGGAUGUGUGCAGAAUAAAUGUUUUAGCUCUAGUUGAAUUGUGGAUUCAGUUUAGGAGUUUUGGCAUCUGUGCGUGGGUUACCUAUUGCAUUAUGCCUUACUACAUUGUAAAUUUGUAAUCAACAUAUUGGUUUUUCCUUUUCUUUGUCUUUGUCUUUGUGUUACCUAUUUCUUUCUCCGCUGGUACAUUUAAGAGUCUACAGGGAGAAGGUGGCUUUGGACCUGUGUACAAGGGUACACUGAUAGGAGGAAAAGAUAUUGCAGUAAAGAGGCUUUCAAAGAAUUCCGGACAAUGAAUGAGAGAGUUCAAAACUGAAGUUAUACUCAUAGCCAGACCUCAGCAUCGCAAUCUUGUUAAGCUUCUCGGUUGUUGCAUUCAAAAAAUGCGAAAAGAUUCUAAUAAAUGAAUUUGUGCCCAACAAAAGCUUGGACUUCUAUAUUUUUGGAGGGACAAAAAUUGCUCGACUAGCCUAAGUGCUUCCACAUUAUCGGUGGAGUUGCUCGAGGGCUUCUUUAUCUUCAUCAGGACUCUAGACUAAGGAUUAUACAUCGAGAUCUUAAACCUAGCAAUAUUCUGCUAGAUGACAAUAUGAACUUGAAGAUUUCAGACUUUGGCUUGGCUAAAACAUUCGGCGGUGAUCAAAGUCAGGCCAAUACAAACAGAGUGGUUGGAACCUUCAAAUGGAAUUUUCUCGAUGAAGUUUAUGUGUUUAGCUUUGGAGUCAUACUGCUCGAGAUGUUGAGUAGGAAGAAGAUCAGGGAUUUCUCAUCAAGAUCACUACCACAACCUUCUUGGACAUGCAUGGAUGCUAUGGAUUCAAGAUAAACCACUAUAAUUGAUCGAUAAGAUGUUUUGUGAUUCGUGGAACAUAUCUGAAGUGUUAUGGUGUCUUCAAGUCGGGAUGUUAUGUGUGCAAAGAGUACCUAAAGAUAGACCAAGCAUGUCAUGUGGUUUUGAUGUUGAGCAGUGAUGUUGCCUUGCCGCCUCCAAAGCAGCCUGGUUUUUACACUGAACGAAGUGUCCCUGAUACACCAUUAAGGAUGUUUUUUUGUUCAAACAAUACUUUCAGCACUAAGUUGAUAGAACCUCGAUAGAUCAUCAUUGCAGUGCUUGUUAGUCCUUCAAUCUACCAUCACAACACGCAUUCGGAAGGUUGACAUGAAGCUUGUAGUCUUGGCUGGGAAACAAUGAGACAUGCGAUAAUAACUUUGAGAGAAAAGUAUUUAUGAAAGUUUAGUAGUUCCUAGAGCACAAUAGAGAAAGGAUUUGGGGUUGUUAGGUGGUUGAAGAAAAUUUACGUUAUAGUUAAAGUUGAGUUUAUUAUUUCUUAAUUAGAUAAUUUCAUUGAGUAGGAAAGUAGAUCAUGCAUAUGUACAUAGGAAGUUGGAGAAGCAAGACGAGCCUUGCUCCAACAACACUAUAAACUCCUCUGAAGGAAUGCCAUAUUUGGCUAAGAUCACCAAAACGUAAAGCUUUAUUGAUUCCUUGAGGAACUCAUGUCGCAUGCGCGCUGAUAUUAGCACGGUCCAUGCACUUAGUUCUGGUUUGGGUAUUUU